rnacentral:piRNA from 1 species
UGGUUAUGUUGCAACAUAAGAAUUUGGGC